AUGGCCGCAGCGGCCGCCGCGGCGUGCAGGCGCGGCCUGCUCCUGCACAACCAUCACCACCAGUGGCCGACGCGGUGGGCCGGCCCCGCCGCCGCCCGCAGCAUCUCGCAGCUCGUCAAGACCAACGGCCGCCGCGCCUUCCUCGUCGACACCCUCGCCCUGGUGAGGAAGCUGGAGUCGCAGGGCGUCCCGACCAAGCAGGCGGAGGCCAUCACGUCCGCCAUCACGGAGGUCCUCAACGACAGCCUCGAGAGCAUCUCCGAGUCCUUCGUCUCCAAGGCCGAGAUGCAGAAGAGUGAGAUGCUGCAGGAGGCCAAUAUCUCCAAGUUCAAGUCGCAAGUGCAGAGCUCGCAGGAAAACCAUUUCUCUUUGUUACAGCGGGAGACUGAAAAACUCCGUGGAGACAUUGAUAAGAUGAGGAGUGAACUGAAGUAUGAGAUUGACAAGGUCACUGCAGGGCAGCGGUUGGAUCUGAACCUUGAAAGAGGGCGCAUACGUGAUGAGCUCGCCAAGCAGAAUGAAGAAACCACAGAUCUCACCACAAAGCUUGACAAGGUGAGCAAAAGUGCCUGCAUGUGUGGGCCUUUGGCAUCACCACUUUAUCAUAGACAUAACUGGAUCCUUCUGUUUCUGCAGGAAAUUCAUUCACUGAAGGCCCAGCUGGAGGCAGCAAAGUAUGAUGUCAUCAAAUACUGCAUAGGUACCAUCGUUUCGAUAUCAGCCGUUGGACUCGCCGUUCUCCGCAUCGUGAUGUGA
rnacentral:rRNA from 1 species